AUGCACGCUGGCGGCGUGCCUCAUACAUGCAAGUCGAGCGAACAGAUGAGGAGCUUGCUCCUCUGACGUUAGCGGCGGACGGGUGAGUAACACGUGGAUAACCUACCUAUAAGACUGGGAUAACUUCGGGAAACCGGAGCUAAUACCGGAUAAUAUAUUGAACCGCAUGGUUCAAUAGUGAAAGACGGUUUUGCUGUCACUUAUAGAUGGAUCCGCGCCGCAUUAGCUAGUUGGUAAGGUAAGGGCUUACCAAGGCAACGAUGCGUAGCCGACCUGAGAGGGUGAUCGGCCACACUGGAACUGAGACACGGUCCAGACUCCUACGGGAGGCAGCAGUAGGGAAUCUUCCGCAAUGGGCGAAAGCCUGACGGAGCAACGCCGCGUGAGUGAUGAAGGUCUUCGGAUCGUAAAACUCUGUUAUUAGGGAAGAACAAAUGUGUAAGUAACUAUGCACGUCUUGACGGUACCUAAUCAGAAAGCCACGGCUAACUACGUG
rnacentral:rRNA from 1 species